GACGAAGGGGGCUAGCGUUGUUCGGAAUUACUGGGCGUAAAGCGAGUGUAGGUGGUUGUCCAAGUUGGAUGUGAAAGCCUUGAGCUCAACUCAAGAAAUGCAUUCAGGACUGGGCGACUAGAGGACCGGAGAGGAUAGUGGAAUUCCCAGUGUAGUGGUGAAAUACGUAGAGAUUGGGAAGAACACCAGUGGCGAAGGCGGCUAUCUGGACGGUUUCUGACACUAAGACUCGAAAGCGUGGGGAGCAAACCGG
rnacentral:rRNA from 1 species